GGUCCUAGCUCACCGGUAGAGCUUCUGCCUUGCAUGCAGAAGGUCACGGGUUCAAUUCCUGGCAUCGCCA